UGUCUUAGGAUGAAAAGAAUGCUUUAUAUAAUGGCCAAAUGAAGCAGUACUUCGUGUCUCCAUCACACUCCCAUCUUCCCUGCACUCAGUCCCCUCACCCAAAGAGAAAGAAAACACUUUGAAUGUCAUUUCAGGAAGAGGUAUGCUGUGUCUCUUCCUCCCUUGCUUCGGUGGGGAGAUGCAGGUCGGAGAGGUGUGGGUGCUAGAGGCAGACCACAGCAGAUCCUGGGGAACUACUCCUCCCUGCAUGCCAUCCUCGCAGCUCUGCAGAGUGUCUCCAUUCACCACCUGAACAGGACAUGGGAGAAAGUUUAAAGAUAAAGAAACUGAGGCCAAGCAAGGGCACCUAUGGAACAAUAACCAUGCUGAGGUUCUCCUGACACCUGCUUCAGGAUCCUAACUCACUGAACAAGAGUGAAGAAUCCCAUCCCGGGCGCCUGGGUGGCUCAGUGGGUUAAGCCGCUGCCUUCAGCUCAGGUCAUGAUCUCAGGGUCCUGGGAUCAAGUCCCACAUUGGGCUCUCUACUCAGCAGGGAGCCUGCUUCCCUCUCUCUCUCUCUCUCUCUGCCUGCCUCUCCAUCUGCUUUUGAUUUCUCUCUGUCAAAUAAAUAAAUAAAAAAUCUUAAAAAAAAAAAAAAAAAGAAUCCCGUCCCUUCAGGGCAAAUGGACACCUCACUGGAAUGGGUCAUUUUUCGGGAAAAGUGAAAUUCAGUCAAACAUGGAAUGGUAUAAAAAUAACAUCAUUUAAAGAAAAUCCACUAUGAUACACUACACUGUUUCUUAGGUUCCAUAUAGGAAUGAAGCCAUAUGAUAAUCGUAGAGGAAGGGAGGAAAAACUA